rnacentral:misc_RNA from 1 species
UUCGCAAUCAUGGCAGGUACAAUUGCCGCAAGGUUCGAGUUGGAUGGUGAAUGAGGAAGGGAAAAUCGUAUUAAACGCGAGAAGGGAGAUAGGAGUCAGUCGAAUGAGCAUCUCCGACACGGCAACAACUGCAGCAAAGCAGCGCACUGUCACCAACUGCAUUCCUCAUCCUGUAACCAAUUCGCAAUCAUGGUGUCGCGCUGGUGUUGGGUGUUGUAUCGUCGAUGGCUGGGUCGACCACUGGUGUACCGAUGUCUUCUUGCUAUGGCGAAUACUGAACCGCACUGCCACCGCCUUACUACACAACAACAACUUACGCAACGACCAGUUACUACACCGAGGCCACCAAGUACUACACCACUAAGGCACGGGAGUACUACACGACUAACUAAGUAUGCUGCUCCAUCCUACUACAUACAAUGAGGCUACCAAGUACUACUGUUCCCAGCUACUGCAACGAGGUUCCAGCUCAUUACUCCGCCAAAACGGUUGAAUAUUACACUGAAGCGCCAAAGUACUACUCUGCCCUGAUAUACCCAACCACAACUGAGGCGGCCAAGUCUCAGCCCCGACUUACUACACAGAAGCUGCUCCUUCGUACUACGUUGCACAGAAAUACUACACUGAUGCUCUAGUUCACUACACCACAACCUACGCUACACCUAGCUACUACACCAAAGCCAAGUACUGCACCGGCAAGGUCGAAUAUUACACAACCACUAUGCUGCCACAGUCUACUACACCGUAGCCCCCAAGUACUACCCCGUCAAGGUCGAAUUUUUCACAACCACUAUGCUGCCCCAGUUUACUACACCGAACCUAAGUAUUACUCUGCUCCAAGCCUUUACUAAAUAGAGGUUCCUGUUUACUACACCACACAUCCCCGAAGAAUUAUACUAUAACCUACGCUGCCACCAGGUACUACACUGAGGCUCCCAGCUGCUGGGGAUUGGACAUCACCAAGGAACCCGAAUAUUACACCACUACUUACGCUGCUCCGACCUACUACACCGAAGCCGAAGCUCCGAAGCACUACUCUGCUCCGAGUUACUACACUACUAAGGCAUCUGAAUAUUACACCACAACCUACGCUUCCCCAACUUACUACAAGGAGGCUCCUAAAUACUAGAUCCAAAAUUUCUAUAUUAUUUAAUCAUGUUUAAAUUUGGCGUUUAUCUUCAUGGUUAUUAGACACUGGGAAUUGAUUGUUGAUCUUUAUUGAAAAUAAAUAUUUGUAAUGCGGUAAA